GCUCCGCUGCCACAGUCCAUUGCGCUUUGUUUCGGAGUCUCCAAAACUUUGCGUCCUGCAUCUGCCACUCAUCCCACUCGGCUUUAAGAGCCGUCCAUUCCACCCACCAUUCUUCCUCCUCGUCUUGGGCAGCCGGGCCGUCACCAAGGUCCAGCGCACGUUGGAUGAAGGCUUCAGCGGUGGCUCUUCGUGCCCUCUUUGAGGAUAUCACCACUUGUUUAAGUAGCCAAGCAAGGGCCGCUGUCCCGUCCGUCAGCCACUGGAGUGCCGACUGUUGUGGAUGUCGUAGGGAUGACCAGUAUUCCCAAUGCUGCAACACCAUAUUACAGUAAUACUUGUCAGCAAAUAGCCAAGCCGGUACCGUGGAGGGGGGAGGUCGAGUCCGCAGUUCUCAGGGAAGUGAUAGGGUGACCAUGAUCAUCUUAUGGUUCGAUCUAGCUACCGGAGUUAGUGCAAAUUUCAACAGGCAGUUCAGGGCCAUCUGUGUCAUCCAGGCCAUAUCAAUUCGGCUACGUCGUUUCAGUGUCCAAGCCACCCAAGUGAUGCCUUCUUGUUAGGCCAUAGUACCCAGAAUGCAUCAUCGAGGCCCAUCCCUGUCAGGGCUGUCCGCAUAGAUACUGUCCUAGUAUCAACCAUAAAUGAUGCCGACUAGGGAUUGGCGGAUGUCUAUUGGAUGACUCUGCUAGCACCUUGUAAGAAAUCAAAGUUUAUGGGUUCCGGGGGGAGUAUGGUUGCAAGGCUGAAACUUAAAGGAAUUGACGGAAGGGCACCACCAAGCGUGGAGCCUGCGGCUUAAUUUGACUCAACACGGGGAAACGCACCAGGUCCAGACAUAGCAAGGAUUGACAGAUUGAGAGCUCUUUCUUGAUUCUAUGSGUGGUGGUGCAUGGCCGUUCUUAGUUGGUGGAGUGAUUUGUCUGGUUAAUUUCGUUAACGAACGAGACCUCAGCCUGCUAAAUAGCUACGCGGGGACCUUUCCUCGUGGCCAGCUUCUUAGAGGGACUGUUGGACGACUAGCCAACGGAAGUUUGAGGCAAUAACAGGUAUGUGAUGCCCUUAGAUAUUCUGGGCCACUCGCGCGCUACACUGAUGAAUCCAACGAGUCGCUUGCCUGGGUCGAAAGGCCCGGGUAACCUUCUUAAGGUUYAUCGUGACGGGGAUAGAUUGUUGUAAUUAUCGAUCUUGAACGAGGAAUGCCUAGUAAGCGCGAGUCAUCAGCUCGCGCUGAUUACGUCCCUGCCCUUUGUACACACCGCCCGUCGCUCCUACCGAUUGAAUGGUCCGGUGAAGUGUCUGGAUUGCGGUGAUCUCGGCGGUUUGCCGCUGGGGGUGCUGUGAGAAGUUCAUUGAACCUUUAUCAUUUAGAGGAAGGACAAGUCGUAACAAGGUUUCCGUAGGUGAACCUGCGGAAG
rnacentral:rRNA from 1 species